GGAGAAUACAUGAGCUGAAUUCUUGUUCUACCUAAGGCCCCAAACAAUGUGGACUUCUGUAUCAUGAACUUACUAACUUUGGACCUCUUCAAAUUUCUCAAAGCUAACAUGUCCUCUGAAUUUCCCUUGAAUUCAAUGAACUCGCCAAGAAUGUUUUUAUCACUAUUAAGCUCUAACCGAUCCCAAGUUGGUGAUGUACUGAGAGCGAAAUGAAUC
rnacentral:misc_RNA from 1 species